UAUAAAACUGUCGUCAAUGGACUUGACAGUCAGGAUAUUUAUAUCCUGUGCUGACUGGACAUUCGACGACCUGACCUGUAUGAGCAAGUAAGGCAUUUGCCUGGAUUGCGAAUACAGGUAGCGAUUGCGGGAGCACCAAAGUGCGGAGCAAUCGGCUUUCCUU
rnacentral:sRNA from 1 species